AACAACCGAGCCUGUCUAGCUGAUUGUAGAGCUGCUCUUUUUCAGGUACAGUACUAGGUUCGUUCCUAAAUUGGAAGGAUGUACAGUCCUCCGAAGUUUCUGCCGAUGGUCUCUCAUACAGUUUACACUUCUUAUUUUCAGGGUCAUCUUGGUGGAACAUUUCAGCUCGUAUCCCUCAGCGAUCUCUGGAAGAAGAUGGGGCGUAACGGCGUCAAGAAGAGCAUCUGGGAGAUCCUCUGCGGUUGUUCCUCGCCUAAGACCAACAAAUGAUUAAGCCAGAAAUGCACGAGACGGCGAGAGGUUAAGUGUCUAGUGGUUCCCAAUAGUUAAAAAGUGGUUGUAAAAUUGUGAUUAGGUAUUGCUAAGUUAUUUUGUUGUAUUGGUAUGUAGUCUUGUGGUUGUGUGUUGGGCCAGCUUCUUCUGCAGCAAGGAGCAUGUAAACGAGGAAUGUCUUGUAACCAUAUUCGGAAAUAAAUCUCGC
rnacentral:lncRNA from 1 species